rnacentral:rRNA from 1 species
AUUGAACGCUGGCGGCAUGCCUUACACAUGCAAGUCGAACGUGAAAGCGGGGCAACCCGCAAGUAGAGUGGCGGACGGGUGAGUAAUACAUCGGAACGUGUCCAGUAAUGGGGGAUAACCUAGCGAAAGUUAGGCUAAUACCGCAUACGAUCUACGGAUGAAAGCGGGGGAUGCGGCACUAAAGGCUUUUGGCGAAGGUGGCCAAAGGUGAGUCAAGAGCUUUUAGUGCUGCACCUCGCGUUAUUGGAGCGGCUGAUGUCUGAUUAGCUAGUUGGUGAGGUAAAGGCUUACCAAGGCGACGAUCAGUAGCUGGUCUGAGAGGACGGCCAGCCACACUGGGACUGAGACACGGCCCAGACUCCUACGGGAGGCAGCAGUGGGGAAUUUUGGACAAUGGGGGCAACCCUGAUCCAGCCAUGCCGCGUGAGUGAAGAAGGCC